UCAACGUCAAUGCAUUUUUUCACCGUAAACAUUUUCAAAAUUAACUAUUUAAUUAAUAACUUUUAAAAUAAUAUUCUCUUAACAGCAAAUUCUAGUGGAAAUAUUAACACUGAAACAAAUACAGUUAAACCAAAAAAGCGAACCUAUCGUAAACAGCUUGAAAGUGAUGAAAUUAUUGCAGAAAAAGUGGUAAUUAAAAUUGUAUAGAUAUAUCGACCCUUCCAAUUUAGUAGAAAUAAUUUAAUAUUUGUUAUUAUCUAGAGCAGCUGUAUAAAUGUAUUAUUUUUCGAGAUAUUAGUAAAAGAUUGUAAAUAAUUUCAAUUUUAACAACUUAAUCUUUUUUAUUUCCAAUAAGGUUUUUAAAUAAAAGAGACUUUUUAUGGAAGAUAAUAAUUACGUAUUAAUUAUAUUCCAAUUAUUCAUUUUAAUUUGUCAUUGGUGACGCCUAGAAAUUGAUACAGCGAGGAGAUAUUGGAACACUUAUUAGGAAUCAAAAAUAUGGAGAGAAACUAUCAGUUCCAACCAAAAAAAGUUAUAUACCAAUUGUAAAUGACAAAGCACCAAAAAUACCAGCAUAUUUAUUAGGAAAAGUAAAUUUUAUUCUGCAUUGUUUUAUAUUCAAAAAUUAUACAAGUAGCCUAAACAUAUCUUUUGACUUAACGUAGAUUUUUUCAAUAAAUUAACUAAAAUUUAUCCCAUAAUUUAAUAUAUUCUUAUGAUUCGUUAAGAGUUUUCAUAAGAAUCAUUUGCAUCGCAACAAAUGCGAUGAAAAAAAGCAACCCAUAGAAGUAUCUUCCAAUGAUAAUGAUGGCCCUAAUAUAGAAAGUAACUUAUCCGAAGAACAUGAUGAAGUCAUUAAAAAAUUAUAAGCUAAUAAUGAACCUUCAAAUGACGUUACAAAACCUGAAGUGUCUACUGAUAAAGUAAAAGAAACUCCAGAAGAGAAAAUAAUUCAUUUAGAACCCGCAAAAUAUGAAGUAAAAGAGCAACUCCUAGAGAUAUCCUCUUCUGAAAGUUCAAAUUUAAAAAGAAAGUCAUCCGAAAAAGAUGAGAAAAUCAUAAAAAAGGCAAAAAUUAGUUCUGAACUCUUACAUGCGACAACGUCAAAUGACGUUACAAUACUAGAAGUGUCUAAUGAUAAAACAAAAGAAACUCUAGAAGAAAAAAUAAUUGAUUUACAACCCGCAAAAUGUAAAAUAAAAGAACAACUACCGGAAUUAUCCUGUAACACUACCGAAAGCCCAAAUUUAAAAAGAAAGUCAUCCGAAAAAGAUGAGAAAAUCAUAAAAAGUACACUAUAAUCUUUUUUUAUAAAUAUUCACCUGCAUAUUAUGAUUAUUUAAAUUGUUUUCUUUAAAUUUUUAAAAUUUCAAAAAUGUUGAAUGACGUUACUUUACCAGAAACGCCUGUGAACACAUAUAAUAAACUAAUAGAAUAUAAACAGCUCAUCCAGUUUACUUCCAAUACUACUGACGACCAUAACUUCAAAAAAAAACUCAUUUGAAAAACAUAAAGAAGACACAAAAAAUACAUAAAAAAAUUAACCUGCAUUUUCACUAUUGACACAAUUUACUUACACUUUUAAACUUAAAUAAUUUUAGAGUUGGAAGUUAACAUUUAAACAUUUGUGUUCGAGAACAUGGAAUGACGUUAUUUCACCACUUAUGUCCACCGAUGACACAAAUAAUAAGCUGGAAGAAAAAAAACAAUCCAUUGAAUAAACUACAAAUGAUAUUGAUCGCCCUAACAUAGAAAGUAGCUCAUCUAAGACUGAUAAAAAAGAUAUUAAAAGUACAUAAAAAAAUUUAAUCUACAUUUUGAUUAUUGAAAAAUGUUAAUAUCUUUAAAGACACUUGAUAGAUCAUUUCUUUAAUUUUAAGUUAAUAAAAUAAAUGUUUUUAAUUUAAAAAAAAUUAAGUUUUACUACUUAAAAGAAGAAAGUGGGAGGAUAUGAACAAUUUUUUUUUUUUGAAAUACUAGAAAUAGGAUUCUAUUAAUUUCUGAAAAGAAAAUAUUAUGAUAUGUGUUAUACUUUCUAGUAAAUAAUUAUUUUAUUAAAAUAUUCCUAGAACCUGAGUGGACUUUAUAUAAAAAAAUUUAUAAAUGCUUAAUGUUAUAAUUAAAGUUUUUAUAGAUCAGUAAAAAGUAUUUAAUAAAACAAAAUAAUUUUUAGUUAAAAUAACAUUAUUACUAAUACUACUGUAACUAUAGCACACGAAACUAGAACAAUACGAUUAAUAAUCAACCUAAUGAAUUUUACCAAAAAAAACCAACUUAGUUUACAUAAAACCUACACUUGUUUUAAAUUUUGGUCUAUCAUAAUAAAAAUAAUAUAACGUCAAAAAAUUACAAUUUUUCUCCCCUUUGGUAGAAAAGAACAGCUGCCGGCUGUUGGAUACGCAUCACGAGAGGGCGUUUUUUUAAAUUUGUUGUUAUGACUGAUAACGCCACUCGCACUACCACCACCGUAUGUAAGAGAAAUUCAUUAUUAUGUCGGAUGAUUACGUACACGAUGGAUGUA